rnacentral:rRNA from 1 species
GGCAUGCCUAACACAUGCAAGUCGCGCGGUCAGCAAUGGCAGCGGCGGACGGGUGCGUAACGCGUAGGAACGUGUCUUGAGGUGGGGGACAACCCUGGGAAACUGGGGCUAAUACCGCAUAUGGGCUGAGGCCCAAAGCCGUAAGGCGCCUUUGGAGCGGCCUGCGUCCGAUUAGCUAGUUGGUGGGGUAAAGGCCUACCAAGGCUCCGAUCGGUAGCUGGUCUGAGAGGACGAUCAGCCACACUGGGACUGAGACACGGCCCAGACUCCUACGGGAGGCAGCAGUGGGGAAUAUUGGACAAUGGGCGAAAGCCUGAUCCAGCAAUGCCGCGUGGGUGAAGAAGGUCUUCGGAUCGUAAAGCCCUUUCGACAGGGACGAUGAUGACGGUACCUGUAGAAGAAGCCCCGGCUAACUUCGUGCCAGCAGCCGCGGUAAUACGAAGGGGGCUAGCGUUGCUCGGAAUUACUGGGCGUAAAGGGCGCGUAGGCGGCUUAGUCAGUCAGGCGUGAAAUUCCUGGGCUUAACCUGGGGGCUGCGCUUGAUACGGCUAGGCUUGAGGGUAGGAGAGGGUCGUGGAAUUCCCAGUGUAGAGGUGAAAUUCGUAGAUAUUGGGAAGAACACCGGUGGCGAAGGCGGCGACCUGGCCUAUUACUGACGCUGAGGCGCGACAGCGUGGGGAGCAAACAGGAUUAGAUACCCUGGUAGUCCACGCCGUAAACGAUGUGCGCUGGAUGUUGGGGCCCAUAGGGUCUCAGUGUCGUAGCUAACGCGGUAAGCGCACCGCCUGGGGAGUACGGCC